rnacentral:rRNA from 1 species
UACGUAGGGGGCAAGCGUUGUCCGGAAUCAUUGGGCGUAAAGAGCGUGUAGGCGGUCCGGUAAGUCGGCUGUGAAAGUCCAGGGCUCAACCCUGGGAUGCCGGUCGAUACUGCCGGACUAGAGUUCGGAAGAGGCGAGUGGAAUUCCCGGUGUAGCGGUGAAAUGCGCAGAUAUCGGGAGGAACACCGGUGGCGAAGGCGGCAUCCUGGACCGGCAUUGACGCUGAGGCGCGAAAGCUAGGGGAGCAAACGGGG